rnacentral:hammerhead_ribozyme from 1 species
AUACAGAUGACGUAUCCCAAAUAGGACGAAAUGCGCAUCCUGGAU